UACGAAGGGGGCUAGCGUUGCUCGGAAUCACUGGGCGUAAAGGGUGCGUAGGCGGGUCUUUAAGUCAGGGGUGAAAUCCUGGAGCUCAACUCCAGAACUGCCUUCGAUACUGGAGAGCUCGAGUCCGGGAGAGGUGAGUGGAACUGCGAGUGUAGAGGUGAAAUUCGUAGAUAUUCGCAAGAACACCAGUGGCGAAGGCGGCUCACUGGCCCGAUACUGACGCUGAGGCACGAAAGCGUGGGGAGCAAACAGG
rnacentral:rRNA from 1 species